CGAUGAAGAGCGCAGCCAACUGUGUGAAUUAAUGUGAACUGCAUACUGCUUUGAACAUCGACAUCUUGAACGCACAUUGCGGCCAUGGGUUAGCUCAUGGCCACGCCUGUCCGAGGGUCGGCU
rnacentral:rRNA from 1 species